rnacentral:lncRNA from 1 species
GCAGGACGAGGGGUUUGGGCAAAAAGGGUAGGAGAUUUCUACCAACUGAGUCUGUCCCUUUUAUUCAGGAAAAGAAGUCUUCCCCAGAACUCAUCUAAGAGGGAUUUGCUUCUGCUUCAUUGGGUGGGGCGUAGUGACUCCGCGACAAACCGGUGGCCAAGGAGAGGAGAUCCCACAGCUGACUGAGUCAAAACCACUCCCCGAAGGUGAGGAAGAGGAGAUCCCGGCCACUGCUGCACAGAUGGAGGCACUGAUGAGGUCAGAUGCACAGUGUAACUUCUGGAACACGUUGUGCCCCUGUCCUCCGACAGCCUGAUGUUCUCCACCCCCGCCGGUGCACUGGAGCCCCUGACCGGGACAGGCCUGAAGCUGGCUUCUGGGGCUGCAGGGGCGAGCGAGGAGGCAGAUGGACAAACGGGCCGUGUCAUUCUGGGUGGUCAUUUGUAUGCUCUGACCACCGACGUCCCCGCCCCCCACCUCCCACGUUACCCCCCGCUGUCACACCCCUAAGUCCUCCAGCACAGAUCAGAUGA